UACGUAGGGUGCAAGCGUUGUCCGGAAUUAUUGGGCGUAAAGAGCUCGUAGGCGGUCUGUCACGUCGGCUGUGAAAACCCGAGGCUCAACCUCGGGCCUGCAGUCGAUACGGGCAAACUAGAGUACUGCAGGGGAGACUGGAAUUCCUGGUGUAGCGGUGAAAUGCGCAGAUAUCAAGUGGAACACCAGUGGCGAAGGCGAAUCCCUGGAAAAUACCUGACACUGAGGCACGAAAGCUAGGGGAGCAAACAGG
rnacentral:rRNA from 1 species